AAGAAUUUAAGUUAAACAAACUAACAACCUUCAAAGUUGUAAAUAGAAAUGAUUCUAAGCCUUA
rnacentral:tRNA from 1 species